rnacentral:ncRNA from 1 species
ACUGUCCUUAUCGGGGGCUGCGAGCUUGCUCAAGGAUCGCUAAGUGAGAGCAAGACUGCUAACACCCGUGAAAUACGUUUACCGCACCGCCUGCCUGAAUAGGUGGGUCAGGGUGCAAUUUUUGGGGCC